UACGGGGGGGGCAAGCGUUGUUCGGAAUUACUGGGCGUAAAGGGCUCGUAGGGGGCCAACUAAGUCAGACGUGAAAUCCCUCGGCUUAACCGGGGAACUGCGUCUGAUACUGGAUGGCUUGAGGUUGGGAGAGGGAUGCGGAAUUCCAGGUGUAGCGGUGAAAUGCGUAGAUAUCUGGAGGAACACCGGUGGCGAAGGCGGCAUCCUGGACCAAUUCUGACACUGAGGAGCGAAAGCCAGGGGAGCAAACGGG
rnacentral:rRNA from 1 species